UACGUAGGGUGCAAGCGUUAUCCGGAAUUAUUGGGCGUAAAGAGCUCGUAGGCGGUUUGUCGCGUCUGCUGUGAAAACUGGGGGCUCAACCCCCAGCCUGCAGUGGGUACGGGCAGACUGGAGUGUGGUAGGGGAGACUGGAAUUCCUGGUGUAGCGGUGGAAUGUGCAGAUAUCAGGAGGAACACCGGUGGCGAAGGCGGGUCUCUGGGCCGAUACUGACGCUGAGGAGCGAAAGCGUGGGGAGCGAACAGG
rnacentral:rRNA from 1 species